rnacentral:lncRNA from 1 species
AAUGUUUGAGAUGCAGGAAUAAUAUCUAGACAUCUAUUUAUGCACGUCUGUUUUGAGAUGUCAGGUAUAUUGAUUUUUCCAAAAAUUGUUUUGGUUUUAUACGAGUUGGAAAUGUUCUGAUUUAAGAAAAAAAAAAUAUUUGGUUUCUUAAGGAGAUUAUUGUUGAUGAAACUGUUUCUAUCUAAAAUAAAUAAUAAAAAAUAAAAAUAAAAAACAGAAAUUGUUUAUAGUUUUAUAAAAGGGAUUUGUUUUCCCUUUCAUAACACUAAAACUUGUUUCAGAAAUUGAUUUUUAAUAGUAGAAACUGUUUCAUAUUUAAAAUCUAAAAAAGUUUGGAAGUAAACAGAAUGUAUUUAAAAAAAAAAAAAUACGAAUUUGAUUCUGAAAAUGG